rnacentral:rRNA from 1 species
GAACGAACGCUGGCGGCAUGCCUAACCCAUGCAAGUCGAACGAGACCUUCGGGUCUAGUGGCGCCCGGGUGCGUAACGCGUGGGAACCUGCCCUUAGGUUCGGAAUAACUCCCCGAAAGGGGUGCUAAUACCGGAUAAUGUCUUCGGACCAAAGAUUUAUCGCCUUUGGAUGGGCCCGCGUUGGAUUAGCUAGUUGGUAGGGUAAAAGCCUACCAAGGCGACGAUCCAUAGCUGGUCUGAGAGGAUGAUCAGCCACACUGGGACUGAGACACGGCCCAGACUCCUACGGGAGGCAGCAGUGGGGAAUAUUGGACAAUGGGCGAAAGCCUGAUCCAGCAAUGCCGCGUGAGUGAUGAAGGCCUUAGGGUUGUAAAGCUCUUUUACCCGGGAUGAUAAUGACAGUACCGGGAGAAUAAGCUCCGGCUAACUCCGU